GAUAAACGCUGACGGCGCACAUAAGACAUGCAAGUCGAACGGACUUAACCUAAAAGUUUACUUUUGGAGCGGUUAGUGGCGGACUGGUGAGUAACAUGUAAGCAAUCUGCCUAUCAGAGGGGAAUAACAGUGAGAAAUCAUUGCUAAUACCGCAUAUGCCAUAGUUAUCGCAUGAUAAUAGUGGGAAAGGAGCAAUCCGCUGAUAGAUGAGCUUGCACCUGAUUAGCUAGUUGGUGGGGUAACGGCCCACCAAGGCGACGAUCAGUAGCCGAUCUGAGAGGGUGACCGGCCACAUUGGGACUGAGACACGGCCCAG
rnacentral:rRNA from 1 species